UUAAAACCAAGCACUGUAUGUUCAACCCAGGGUACAAGAAACGAUAACAACGGGAGCGAAUUCUAUUGACACCUUGAAAAGUUCUGAAGAUAUGAAUAAAAAUUCUGAUAAUCAUCAGCAAGUAACUCAAAAAUAUCAAGUGGCAAACAAUCUGCAAAAUGUGAAACUUG